CUGAGAUGCGAAACAUUUUAAUGGCGUAAUAUUGUCUUCAUAACAAUGAAAUUUACAUUAAAAUAAACAUGAAUACUAAAUAAUUACCGCACAUAUACACACCAAUACAUUUUCUCCUACACACACACACUCUUGACAAAUUAAAGAAAAAAACAACAACAAAGAGAUGUCGUUUGUUAGGGUUCUAAUUGAAAUAACAGACUUCACGUAUGAAGAAUUACAUUUGAACGAGAAUGAGAUUCCACUGACCUUGACAGAACUAAAAUGUUUGACUUAAGCAUUUCAUAACUUGGUGAAACAAUUUAACCUCAUUAUUUAUGCCAUGUCAGCAAUAGCUUCUAUUGAAAAGAAAAGGUUUCUAUUGUUAAAAAAAAAAGAACAUUGCAAGCUUGACAGAAUAAAUAUUAUACCCCCGAGCUAUUUCUACAUUAAGAUUCACUGCAAGCAUAAUAUCUAUCUGACGUUAAGCAUUAUAGA